rnacentral:lncRNA from 1 species
GUUGUAUCAAUUUACCUUUUUGUAAGACUAGUAGUAGUGCACGUGCAAUGCACGUAUUGAAAAACAUAAAUUAAAACUAUUACAUAAAAAAGGAAUUAAACCCCACACAUUGUUUAUGUGUGGCAAUUGAAUUUCGCUAGGUAGCCAGCAAAAUAUCCGCCAUCAGAAUCAAUAUACAAAAUAAAAGUAAAAGUCUCAAACCAAAGGUUUGAGAAACUAUGCUUUUCACGCUACUUAACUUCUCACCGCCUCCACCAUCAUGCCCGAAUUAGGAUCAAGCAAUAUGGAUUGCUCAUCUCUCUUGACCCCACAACCUCAUUCGUUUGCCACACAGCAAGGUCUGCCGACUUUUUGUUUCACCUUCAACAAACAAAAAAAAACUAAAGAAAUUAUUUCUUAAUUCUCUGUCAACAACCCAUGGACUAAAAUAUGUCAAACCGAAAAUAACAGGGAAGAAUGAAGCUAGAAUGGUAUAUAGCUUUUUAUAUCCACUGAAUGGCUAUGUUACAAAAGAAAGGAACAAAUGUGGCUUCCCUUCGACAGUGAAAUGACUAAAUAAGCCAAAAGGUAGCUUGAACAAAUGUGACUUCACAUGUCAAGUGAUUGAUUUCUGAAAUGGAUAAUAAGAUUUGGAUUUGAACCUGACAAGUUCACAACCACGUGCUCUAAGUGAAGUUUUACCAUUCUUUCCAUAGUUAAUAGAAAUUUAGUGUAAACCGGUUAAUUGCAAAAAACUCAAAUAUUAUUACACCAAAAGAUGAUCAUCUUGUAAAAUAAUGAGCCAUGAGAAAUGUUGAAUCUGGAUAGCAAAAGAAAACCUACCUUUUUAAUUUAAAGAAAUCUAGCAUUUUCUUUUCCUUCACCAUAUUUUCCACACCAGACUAUAGCAAAAAGAAACACCACAAAAAACACAGGGACAUUUGUGUCGAAGCAAGAUUUCGACAAUAAUAAAAGGGGGUGGCUAUCAAGCUAGGAAAGUGGAUGGGUUUAGAGACAAGGGAUUUUAUACAGGUUCAGGCCUUCUUAUUCAAGAAGUAAUACCCUACUCCUGUCCGGGGAUGAUUCCGCCGAGUGUAUUAUUGAUUGUAUAAAUUGGAAAAAAGAAUCGCGUCCUGAGAGGCACAUGGACCCUCCUUAUAUAGGGGAAGGAGUCCACUUUACAAAGUACCGUCCAUAUCCUAACGGAAUAUGGGAUUAUAGAUAAAAUACAAUCGUAACCGACUAGGAUCCCGGGUAUUUUCUUGACAUACAAGUUUAGAAUCUAACCCGAGUCCUUAUAGAGAUAUUCUGUCUAUAUUUGGUACCAUAUAUCCGACUAAAUUAUAACUGUCAUGUAGAUAUGGGGUAUCCAUCAUCUCCACAGUAGUCCCCGAGACCUUCGCAAUUGACAGUAAUAGCCUUCUCAAAACAAAAAACAGUAAUCCGAGUGCUUCAAUUCAACUUGCUCCAGCUUGCCGAGUGCUAAAAUCAAAGACUGCGAAGGGCGAAAAUAAAACAUGGUGCAUCGAGUAGAUGCACCUAAUUAGGUGUAGCCCCCGACUAUGUGAUUAGUUAAAAAACUAAACAUAUAGUCAAGAACCGAGUGGUUUUAUAGCGAAGCACGCAUGGUACUUAGUAAGAUACCCAGCCGACUGCUUCUCAACUUGAACAUAUCAAGGACAAAAAAUACAAGAAGGGUUGAGUGAUAAAUACUCAAAGGUCCAAAAAUAGACAUGUUUGAUAGGAAUCCGAGUAAAAAUCUCAUACGUCGAGACUGUCCCAAGAGGUUGGAGUAUAACGCCAACCUCCCUGGAUCUAGAUCGGAUCGGGGCCGAAGCCGGAGCUCGCCUAGAUCUUCGAGUGGGAGAUGUCUUGACUGUGAAGACAGCGGCCAAAUCAUCAGGAAGUUUCAUCAGGAUUGAGGGAUAGGACCCGUCGUCUUGAUCUGGUGGCGGAAAAGUAGAUUGGAUCUCGUCCGAGUGGUUUGAAGCCGACUCGGGAGAGAUGAUCUUGGAGUAGGCCUCGGCCGAGUUCGGAAUACCGAACGGCACAGGGACCUGGUCUCUUCCCGACUGGUUGGAAUCCGAGUCAAGGAGAGAGAUCUUGCCGAAGUCGUUGGUGAUGAAGUUGAGGCUGCCGAACCGGAACGUCUGCUCAGGAGGGAAGGCGAAGUCGUCGAUGCCAGAAACGGAACCCAUCGCACUUAGUCGGCAAAAACUUGACGCUGCCCCUACCUGGCGCGCCAACUGUCGAAGCAAGAUUUCGACAAUAAUAAAAGGGGGUGGCUAUCAAGCUAGGAAAGUGGAUGGGUUUGGAGACAAGGGAUUUUAUACAUGUUCAGGUCUUCUUAUUCAAGAAGUAAUACCCUACUCCUGUCCGGGGAUGAUUCCGCCGAGUGUGUUAUUGAUUGUAUAAAUUGGAAAAAAGAAUCGCGCCCCGAGAGGCACAUGGACCCUCCUUAUAUAGGGGAAGGAGUUCGCUUUACAAAGUACCGUCCAUAUCCUAACGGAAUAUGGGAUUAUAGAUAAAAUACAAUCGUAACCGACUAGGAUCCCGGGUAUUUUCUUGACAUACAAGUUUAGAAUCUAACCCGAGUCCUCAUAGAGAUAUUCUAUCUAUAUUUGGUACCAUAUAUCCGACUAAAUUAUAACUGUCAUGUAGAUAUGGGGUAUCCAUAAUCUCCACAGUUUGGUAUAGGACUUAAUAUGUAGCAUGCAUAAUUUAAUGGAUUAACAUCGCUUUAGAAUAAAUAUCUACAUGAAAGAAAUUGAAGAAUAACGAACAUAGAUAUAUAUGAAAGGAGGAGUAGAGAAAUAAAUGGAAUGUCCUGGUUUUUCUUGUUGGGUAAUAUCUGUGUAUCUCCAACCGUUUUCCAGAGUUUGUAAUCCAGAAUGAAUAAGUCUAAAAGGUACUGCAUUCUGACCAUAGGACACACCGAAGUCUGAAAUUUAAUAAAAAAAUGUUCACCCGCAAAAUAAGUAUUUGCCCAAUAGAUUUCCGGUUUCUAAUGUUCAGGUGUAAAUGGUAGCCUAUACUAAUUCAAGUGAGAUUACCUUCACACCACGGAGGGAUUGUUUGAGAGGAGAGGAAAAGAGAAGAUUGAGAAGAUACGCAAAAUAAGGUGAGCCAUUAACGCAUGAUUAAUUGAGUAUUAACUAUUUUAAAUUUUAAGAAUGGAUUAAUAUGAUUUUUUAAAACAACUUUUCUAUAGAAAAUUUUUUAAAAAACGCACCGUUUAGUAGUUUCGGAAGUGUGCGUACAGAAAACGAGGUGUUUUCUCUCCCAAUCACCCAGGAACAAGAGUUGAUAAUGUUAAAAAGGUGAAUUUUGGCAUGUCGAUAGCAAGUCCUUGGCCACUAUAAAGACCACUCGUGGAGAUGGAUUUUUAUCCCUCGAGAGGGCACCCUCUCAUUUUGUGCAUUUCAUUUAAAAAAUCAUCAACAAAUUUUAAAAAGAAAUGUUAAGAUAGAUCAAUAUAUGAUAUACCUUUCCACAAACAUGUAAGUUAAAAUUCGACUUUUACAAUUUGAAACAAAAAUAACAAAUUUAACCACGAUUUACGCAUUCUGUUCAUUGUCAAAUUUGUUGUUUUUGUUUCUAAUUGUAUAAGUUGAAAUUGAAUAUGCAUGUUUCUAAUUUAGGAUCUAUAUUUUUUUGUCUAAAUGCAAAGCACAUCUUGAUGUAAUUGUAGAAGAAGUUAUCUUUUUUAAAAAUUUGACUUAUAUAAUUUGAAACGAACAUGUAAGUUAAAAUUCGAUUUAUACAAUUCAAAACAAAAAUAACAAAUUUAACCAUGAUUUACACAUUCUAUUCAUUGUCAAAUUUGUUGUUUUUGUUUUUAAUUGUAUAAGUUGAAUUUGAAUAUGCAUGUUUACGGAAUGAUAUAUCACAUAUUGAUCUAUCUUACUAUUUUUUUUUCAAUUUUUUUGAUAACCUUUUAAGGGACAUGUAAAAAUAAGGAGAUAUCCCUUUAAGGAAUGAUUAGUGUUUCCCUACACUCUUCUCCUUUGCCUAUGCAUGCACACAACAAUGAGAAACUAAUGCGAAAUGGCAAUAUGUCCCCCUGAAACUGGCCCUCAGAUGUUUCUGUCACACCUACAAAAGCAUAAACUUUGAUAAUGUCACAUGCUCAUAGGCAUAGCACCGGUCUAAGUGGCAAUUAUUACAAUAAUUUUACCAUCUAUGUUUUCCUAAUAAUUAUCCCAUCCUCAAAAGAAUAUGUGAUUGUAGAAGAAGUUAUUUUUUUUUAAGGGAAAACACUGUAGGGAAAGCCCCCACAGUUAAUAUAUUGAAAAAAAAUAAAAGGAAAAUAAUUACAACAUAUUAAUCCAAUUAGUAAGUGUAUCUCUCUCAAAUAAAUUAAGCCUAUGGACUAAAAGGGAGAGAUCAUUCUUAAAGAGAACUCUCUAAGAGGAAACAAAAAGAGCAAUAUUAUCAAAAAUUAAACCAUUUCUUUACUUCCAUAUGUUCCAUAUGUAGAAGAAGUUAUCAAGGGACUACAUCCAGUCAGAACCAUAUCCAACACAUUCUAGGCCGAUGUGCAAUUAGUGGUGAGCUUUAUGUCCUAAAAGAAAAUGAUGUUCUGAUUUUUCCUAUUAUAUGAAUGUUCAGCCACAUCAUCGGUAGCCACUGCACUCUAUCAUUCAAUGGGAUCAGAUAUAAGGAAGAGGUACAUCUGAAGGUUGAAAAAUUUCUCAAUUCAAAUGGUAUAUCAAAACCCACAAGUUACACUUUCUCCAAAAGUAAAGAAAAUUUUAUUAACUUUCCGAUGACAAAUUUUACCUCAUAUGUGCAUAUCCGUUGGUUGGCUGUGAUUAAAGGAACCAUAACAUUUAGUAACCAAGUUUAAUCCUGGGAGUUCAGCAAAUUAAAAAAAUAUACAUAACAUUAGUGAAAAUCUAUGUACAAUACAGGAAGCAAUUCAGAUGAAGGAAAUCAUAUGUAUAAAAUAAAUCAAAUGUUUUGGCAAAAAAAGAAGACAUCAAUACAUCCAUAACAACACAAUGUCCCUAUUCAGUGUGUAUUUUACCUGUUAGUGCAGGCGAUUGUGAUACAGUGCUCUGUAUGUUCAUUGAAAUAAGCAGAGGCCAGUCGCUUUCUGACCUUGGGUGAUUAUUCAAAUCCAGUCGAGGCCAAUCAUGUUGUCAGGAAGUAGUAAUCAAAUUAGGACGUGUUUCAAUAAUCAUUAACAUAACAUGUAAGCUGAAAUAAUGGAAUUAGCACUCAAUGGAUUGAUAUUACUAACCCGCUGUCAAGAGGAACUGCGAUCGAAUUGGUCCGUCAUUUUUUGUCAUAUGCGGACUCGAGAAUGCUCUGGUGGCAGAAUCACGGAGCAGCAAGGACUCCGACGGAAAACCACUUACUCCAUGCCGUGCGGCAGCAAGGCUUGCCCCGCACGACGGCUAGUGGAGGUGACUUGAUGACCCUUGGGGCGCGAUGUAGCAGAGGAGGCUCAACGGAUGGCAGCGUAUGCACGGGAUGGGCGACUGAUUGAGCCCGUGGUGUGGCGGCGAAAGGGAAAACGAAGAUUGGCGUGGCGCCGCAGCAACGAAGGGAAGGCAGAGACCGUUACGGUAGUAGCGAAUGCAUGGAUGGAAGCGGCUGGCGGGCUACGGUGCUA